CACGUAGGAGGCAAGCGUUGUCCGGAAUCAUUGGGCGUAAAGAGCGCGCAGGCGGCUUGGCAAGUCGGGUGUGAAAUCCCGGGGCUCAACCCCGUGACUGCAUCCGAUACUGUCAGGCUAGAGGUAGGUAGGGGAGAUCGGAAUUCCUGGUGUAGCGGUGAAAUGCGCAGAUAUCAGGAGGAACACCGGUGGCGAAGGCGGUUCUCUGGGCCUUACCUGACGCUGAGGAGCGAAAGCGUGGGGAGCAAACAGG
rnacentral:rRNA from 1 species